AGCGAACGCUGGCGGCAGGCCUAAUACAUGCAAGUUGAACGAACCUUUCGGGUUCUGUUGCGGACUGGUUAGUAACACAUGGGAACGUUCCUUUAGGGUGGGUAUAACUCAGGGAAACGUGUGCUAAUACGGAAUGUGUCCUACGGGGGCAAGAUUUAUCGCCUUUAGAGCGGCCCGCGUCUGAUUAGCUAGUUGGUUGAGGUAAUGGCUCACCAAGGCGACGAUCAGUAGCUGGUCUGAGAGGAUGAUCAGCCACAUUGGGACUGAGACACGGCCCAAACUCCUACGGGAGGCAGCAGUGGGGAAUCUUGCGCAAUGGGCGAAAGCCUGACGCAGCCAUGCCGCGUGAAUGAUGAAGGUCUUAGGAUUGUAAAAUUCUUUCACCGGGGACGAUAAUGACGGUACCCGGAGAAGAAGCCCCGGCUAACUUCGUG
rnacentral:rRNA from 1 species